GGAAGUAAAAGUCGUAACAAGGUCUCCGUUGGUGAACCAGCGGAGGGAUCAUUACCGAGUUUACAACUCCCAAACCCCAAUGUGAACGUUACCAAUCUGUUGCCUCGGCGGGAUUCUCUGCCCCGGGCGCGUCGCAGCCCCGGAUCCCAUGGCGCCCGCCGGAGGACCAACUCAAACUCUUUUUUCUCUCCGUCGCGGCUUCCGUCGCGGCUCUGUUUUACCUUUGCUCUGAGCCUUUCUCGGCGACCCUAGCGGGCGUCUCGAAAAUGAAUCAAAACUUUCAACAACGGAUCUCUUGGUUCUGGCAUCGAUGAAGAACGCAGCGAAAUGCGAUAAGUAAUGUGAAUUGCAGAAUUCAGUGAAUCAUCGAAUCUUUGAACGCACAUUGCGCCCGCCAGUAUUCUGGCGGGCAUGCCUGUCCGAGCGUCAUUUCAACCCUCGAACCCCUCCGGGGGGUCGGCGUUGGGGAUCGGCCCCUCACCGGGCCGCCCCCGAAAUACAGUGGCGGUCUCGCCGCAGCCUCUCCUGCGCAGUAGUUUGCACACUCGCACCGGGAGCGCGGCGCGGCCACAGCCGUAAAACACCCCAAACUCUGAAAUGUUGACCUCGGAUCAGGUAGGAAUACCCGCUGAACUUAAGCAUAUCAAUAAGCCGGAGGAA
rnacentral:rRNA from 1 species